AUUUGAACUUAUUCCAAGGGUAGAGUUUAGAUUGCAAUUGGGUAAUUAACGAGCUUGCUAGGAGCCGAGGAGAAUGAGACUAUACACCCGGAAGGCUCUACUCGUUGAGUUAUCAUUUUAGGGGUUUUUGAUACAAAAAGGGACGUCUAGACUUCUACUACCGGAGGAUAACGGGCAACCCCCGCUUAUGAAAAAUCAAAUGAAGAUUUUUUAGAUGAGCUAGGAGCUAGACUAGCAGUACGGGAAAAUCGUUUUGGACAUCGGGGAUCAACGUGAAGAAUAUUGUAGCUAGACCCACUCGUAACAUAUGUAGUAAGUUCAUGUAGUGUGUUAUAAAUAUGUUAUAACCUGAAACUUUUAUUUAGUAGGUUUAUUGAGGAUGGUGAAAAGAGUACUAUCUUGAUAUGUAUAUAGAUAAUAGAGUUUAUUGGAUUUGUUACAUA